rnacentral:rRNA from 1 species
AACCAAAAGAAUCACAUUUUUGGCGAUUUCUGCUCAAUGACUGUUAAAUAGCCGCAGUACUUUGACUGUGCAAAGGUAGCAUAAUAAUUUGGCUUUUAAUUGGAGUCUGGCAUGAAUGAAAAAAUGGGGAGAUGCUAUAUCAGUUAAAUUGAUUUAAUUUAAUAAUAAGGUGAAAAUACCUUUAGUUAUAUAAUAGACGAGAAGACCCUUGAAAUUUGAAGAUAUUAUUUUGUUGGGGCGACAAGGUAGCAUAUUUAACCUACUUUUUUAAUUUGUAUUAAUAUUUAAAGAAAAAUAAAAUUACUCAAGGGAUAACAGCAUAAUUAUAAGUAGUUUGUGACCUCGAUGUUGGAUUAGGAAUAUCUAACCCAGAAGGUUAAGAUAUAGGCUCUGUUCGAGCAUUUUUUCCU